rnacentral:sRNA from 1 species
GCCAGGCACAGUGACACACACCUGUAAUCCUAGCCACUCGGGAGGCUGAGGCAGGAGGAUUGCAAGCCUGAGGACAGCCUCAGCGACUUAGUGAGACCCUCAGCGACUUAGUGAGACCCUGCCUCAC